rnacentral:rRNA from 1 species
AAACUGGAGAGUUUGAUCCUGGCUCAGAAUGAACGCUGGCGGCGUGCCUAACACAUGCAAGUCGAGCGAGAAAGGGACUUCGGUCCUGAGUAGAGCGGCGAA